GCGAUAUAGCUUAGUUGGCUAGAGCGUUCGGUUCAUACCCGAAAGGUCGGCGGUUCGAGUCCACCUAUCGC
rnacentral:tRNA from 1 species